UACAGAGGUGCCGAGCGUUAGGCGGAAUCACUGGGCUUAAAGCGUGUGUAGGCGGACUUCUAAGUACCUUGUGAAAUCCCACGGCUCACCCGUGGAACUGCUGGGUAUACUGGUCGUCUUGAGCCACCUAGGGGCCAGCGGAACAAAUGGUGGAGCGGUGAAAUGCGUAGAUAUCAUUUGGAACGCCAAUGGUGAAAACAGGUAGCUGGGGAUGUGCUGACGCUGAGACACGAAAGCCAGGGGAGCGAACGGG
rnacentral:rRNA from 1 species